AAAGCUGAGCCCAUGCUGGGCCCCCAGGAUGGUCAAAGCUCACAGCCAGGUCACAGGAUUGCUGUAGUGAUGGACAAGUCUACCCUCCAGAGCCCGCGAGAGGCAGCGAGCCUUCGGCGGACUUCCUGGAAGGAGGCUUCUCUCCGCUGGACGUGAAGAUGAAGAAACUGAGGUCUAUAGGAGAUAUGAGAUUUACCCAACAUCACAAGACAGAAACAUUUUCAUGCCUUUGCAACUAGCUGAACUGAAGUAGACACUCAAUGAACAGCUGUGAACAAAUGAAGGGCUGAAUGAACUAGAAGAUCCUCCCUGAACUUCCAUUCUCAUAGCCUACUGGUUAUUCAGCGCCCCCACUUGGCUGUGUAAUCGGCAUCCCACACUGAGUGUGCCCAAACUUGACUCCCAGUUGUCCCCUCCAGACCUGACCCUGGACAACCUUCUCCCAUCUCCAUUAAAGACAGCUCAAUCCUUCCUGUCACUCAGGGCAGAAA